rnacentral:tRNA from 1 species
GGCCCCGUCGUCUAGCCAGGUCCAGGACACGGGGUUUUCAUCCCCGCAACGCGGGUUCAAAUCCCGCCGGGGUCA